rnacentral:sRNA from 1 species
GUAGGACCCCAGCGGGUGUGGCAGCAACUGCCCUGGAGCCCCAGCCCCUGCGUCCAUCUGUGCUGUGCACCCCACAGUAGACGUGCAGACGUCCCUGAGAGGUUCUUGAAGAUGUUUAUUUAUAUUGUCCUUUUUUACUGGAAGACGUACGCAUACUCCAUCGAUGUUGUAUUUGCAGUGGCUGAGGAAUUCUUGUACGCAGUUUUCUUUGGCUUUACGAAGCCGAUUAAAAGACCGUGUGAAAUGAACCUUGCUCUGACAAUUCCCUUGCAUUGCACCACACACUCCUUGAUGCGGGCUCCUGCAGCCAGACCUGAGCAGACAGAGAGAAGGUGGAGAAGCAGCGGGUCUGCAAGCCUUCCGUGGGGCCUGCAGAGCUAGAAAGGGAGGCCCAGCAGACUGGCGCUGGUCAGGGUAGGGGAGCCAGGCGGGGGACGGGAGCGGGCAGCUCAGGCCUCAGGGCAGCCCUGGGAGGCUUCUGGCAGUGGUGGCCAGACGGCUGGACUGUGCGGGCAGCUUAGCAGGGACAGUGGACGUGCACCCGACGCUGACCUGGACUGCCUCAGUCUAGAAGCAGGCCAGAGAGCAGAGGCACGUGGCAUCCCAGGGCGACCUCAGACGGCCAGCCGGUUAGCUAGUUCUGCUGUUGCUUCACGAGUUCUGAGCAUUCUCUGCUAGCCUAUGGAAGCUGCAGCCCUCGGAGGACAGAAGUGUUGUGCGCCCAACAGAACCCUCUGAGACGCAAGCUGCUCCCUUGGCUAGCUCAUAUGUGGAAAUAGCCCUGUAAUUCGAGGUUGAAGGGGCCCGGCCAGGACUCGGGGAAGGGUGGCCUGAGAGCAGCGAUGACCUCUGGGGUCACUGUCCCAGGAGGGACUUCACCUGGAACAAGAGCUGGAGGCAGCCGCUUGCCCCGGAGGCUUGUCCCCUGAGGCGCUUCGCCAGUGAGGUGCGGGCUCAGGGUCUCGAGUCUCUCCUGGAGCACGGGCUGCGGUGCGCUGGCAGCUUAGGGGGCGGCCAGUCCUUGCCCACAACGAUGUGGAGCCCUGUGAAAGUCGGAUUCGAAUAAAGGGCCACGUGUGCACCCAGAAA